GCUGGCGGCGUGCUUAACACAUGCAAGUCGAACGGGAUCCCUGGCAGCUUGCUGCCGGGGUGAGAGUGGCGAACGGGUGGUAAUGCGUGACCGACCUGCCCCAUGCACCGGAAUAGCUCCUGGAAACGGGUGGUAAUGCCGGAUGUUCCACAUGAGCGCAUGCGAGUGUGGGAAAGGCUUUUUGCGGCAUGGGAUGGGGUCGCGUCCUAUCAGCUUGUUGGUGGGGUAACGGCCUACCAAGGCGUUGACGGGUAGCCGGCCUGAGAGGGCGACCGGCCACAUUGGGACUGAGAUACGGCCCAGACUCCUACGGGAGGCAGCAGUGGGGAAUAUUGCACAAUGNGCGCAAGCCUGAUGCAGCGACGCCGCGUGCGGGAUGGAGGCCUUCGGGUUGUAAACCGCUUUUGUUCAAGGGCAAGGCACGGUCUUUGGCCGUGUUGAGUGGAUUGUUCGAAUAAGCACCGGCUAACUACGUGCCAGCAGCCGCGGUAAUACGUAGGGUGCAAGCGUUAUCCGGAUUUAUUGGGCGUAAAGGGCUCGUAGGCGGUUCGUCC
rnacentral:rRNA from 1 species